rnacentral:rRNA from 1 species
UUAGUUGGUGGGGUAAAGGCCUACCAAGACUAUGAUGUGUAGCCGGGCUGAGAGGUUGAACGGCCACAUUGGGACUGAGACACGGCCCAAACUCCUACGGGAGGCAGCAGUAGGGAAUUUUCGGCAAUGGAGGAAACUCUGACCGAGCAACGCCGCGUGAACGAUGAAGUAUUUCGGUACGUAAAGUUCUUUUAUUAGGGAAGAAUAAAUGAUGGAAAAAUCAUUCUGACGGUACCUAAUGAAUAAGCCCCGGCUAACUAUGUGCCAGCAGCCGCGGUAAUACAUAGGGGGCAAGCGUUAUCCGGAAUUAUUGGGCGUAAAGGGUGCGUAGGCGGUUAAAUAAGUUUAUGGUCUAAGUGCAAUGCUCAACAUUGUGAUGCUAUAAAAACUGUUUAGCUAGAGUAAGAUAGAGGCAAGUGGAAUUCCAUGUGUAGUGGUAAAAUGCGUAAAUAUAUGGAGGAACACCAGUAGCGAAGGCGGCUUGCUGGGUCUUUACUGACGCUGAGGCACGAAAGCGUGGGGAGCAAACAGGAUUAGAUACCCUGGUAGUCCACGCCGUAAACGAUGAGUACUAAACGUUGGGUAAAACCAGUGUUGAAGUUAACACAUUAAGUACUCCGCCUGAGUAGUACGUACGCAAGUAUGAAACUUAAAGGAAUUGACGGGACUCCGCACAAGCGGUGGAUCAUGUUGUUUAAUUCGAAGGUACCCGAAAAACCUCACCAGGUCUUGACAUGCUUCUGCAAAGCUGUAGAAACACAGUGGAGGUUAUCAGUUGCACAGGUGGUGCAUGGUUGUCGUCAGCUCGUGUCGUGAGAUGUUGGGUUAAGUCCCGCAACGAGCGCAACCCUUAUUGUUAGUUACCAGCACGUAAUGGUGGGGACUUUAGCAAGACUGCCAGUGAUGAAUUGGAGGAAGGUGGGGACGACGUCAAAUCAUCAUGCCCCUUAUGACCUGGGCUACAAACGUGAUACAAUGGCUGUUACAAAGGGUAGCUGAAGCGCAAGUUUUUGGCGAAUCUCAAAAAAACAGUCUCAGUUCGGAUUGAAGUCUGCAACUCGACUUC